rnacentral:misc_RNA from 1 species
CUUCAGAUAUCAGAAGCAGUGGGCCUUUGAAGCCUUAAGACAGAAUGGCAGAUCAAUGGAUGAAUAUUCUUUUUAGUUCUUGGAGUUGAGCAAGUAUGCUCCUACUGCUGUGGCCACAGAAAGCAUAAAGGUAAAGAGAUUUUUGAAAGGGCUAGACAGAAGGUAUGCGAACCCGGCUAUGUUGUCGGACCAACCAUUUGAUAUAGUAGUGGAUAGAGCCCAGCAAAUAAAGAUCAGUUAUACAUGUGAUGAAGGUGGUAGGACAAAGAAGAAUAAAGCUGAAGGAUCAUUUGGUAUGCCUUAUAUGAGUACCAUGGGUGGUGGCAGCCAGAGUCAUCACAGUGGAAGGACUAGGAGUAACAAGAAAGGUGGCUUCAAACAUAGAUCCAGAAGGUUCAGACACACGGGUGUAUAAGUGCUCCAAUUUAUCUUUUAUGUGAAUAUGAUUUGAUUUGUUUGAAAUAUGUGAAUGUGUUGCAUUUCAUCUUUAAGAAUGCAUUAGACUUAGAUAGUUAUAAAAAUUGUAUCUAAAAUCAACAUCUUACUCUAUGAGUCGAACGCUUACUCUUAUUCACCCUUUUUUUUUACAGGCUAUAGGAGGACUCUUACUUAUGUUUAACUUGCUUCCUACCUCGCAGGUCUCUUAGUUGCUCUACCUAUGUUUGUGUUAUAAAUUUUGAAAGUUCUAGAACUCCGCAUGUGUUAAAAGAUAUUUAAUUUGACUUGAAACUGCAAUAGAUUAUUAUUUAAAAUCUAUAACUUAUUAAUUAUGUAUAUGUGGAUUUGCUAAUUGAAUGAGUUAUGUGGCUGAGGGGCUGAGCUCCCAGUGAUCAUACUGAGUUAUUGUUAAUGAUUGUAAGAGUGAGCUAAACUCCUCAAAUGAUUUUAUUUAUUUUGUAAUCACAGGUCGAGUGAGUUAAAAACUCUUCGUUGAGCAGUCUAGUUUAUGGUCGGAUUCUGUCCGUUUGAUUUCUUGAAAAUGAAUUUAAAUAUGGGCUUUGAAGUUGGGCU